UUGUACCCGGCUUCCUUGUUUCAGGUAAGUUGGCCUUUGCGUCUUGCGAGACGACUGAUGUCCCAGGCAACGACUGGUACCGGGACUUUUUUAAUGGUAAGGAUUUUAUUUUUUGUUUCUUUAUGACAGGCCACAGUUGGAGUGGUUGUCCUGUCACUGUUAUGAAAACAUGCAUAAUAUAUUAGGUUGAGUUAGGUUAGAGUUAAAAAUUAGAGAUAACCUUUUUAAUCCCAGCAAGUGAGGACAGGAGGAGACAUCAACAGAGGACAGAGGCUAAAGAAGACUUCUUUAUCAACCACAACAAUGUAAGUAAAAAUACUGAACACACCUUUACUGUAAAAAUAAACUUGACUUUAUAAUAAUGCUUGUAAAAUGUUAAACAGGAGCACCAGCAUCCACAGCUGCUUGAGGAGGAAACAUCAACAGAAAGCAAAACAAUUAAUCAUCCACUGAUGGAGGAGGAGGAUGAUGAAGAUGGAGGACAGGAGCACCAGUAUCCACAGCAUCCUGAGGAAACAUCAACAGGGGACAGAAAGACUUCUAUUCACCAAAACAAUACAGGAGUGCCAGCAUCCACUGAUGGAGGAGGAGGAUGAAGAAGAUGGAGGACAUUAGCACCAGCAUCCACAGCUGCCUGAGGAGGAAACAUCAACAGAAAGCAAAACAAUCAAAACAAUUAAUGUAAGUAAAGCCUCUCAUUGGCACAGAAAGACACUGAACUAAUGUUUAAUGUAAAAAUAGAGGUGACUUUAUACUAAUGCCUGUAAAAUGUUGGACUGGAACAAUGGCAUCUACUGAUGGAGGAGGAGGAUGAAGAUGGAGGACAGGAGCACCAGUAUCCACAGCAUCCUGAGGAAACAUCAACAGAGGACAGAGACUUCUAUUCACCAAAACAAUACAGGAGCACCAGCAUCCACAGCAUCCUGAGGAGGAAACAUUACCAGAGGACAGAAAGACUUCUAUUCACCAAAACAAUCAAUGUAAGUAAAGCCUCUCAUUUACACAGAAAGAAUCUGAAUACGUGUUUAAUGUAAAAAUAAAGAUGAUUUUGAUACUAAUGACUGUCA
rnacentral:lncRNA from 1 species